rnacentral:rRNA from 1 species
UACGGGGGGAGCAAGCGUUGUUCGGAUUUACUGGGCGUAAAGGGCGCGUAGGCGGCGCAACAAGUCACUUGUGAAAUCUCCGGGCUUAACUCGGAAAGGUCAAGUGAUACUGUUGUGCUAGAGUGCGGAAGGGGCAACUGGAAUUCUCGGUGUAGCGGUGAAAUGCGUAGAUAUCGAGAGGAACACCUGCGGCGAAGGCGGGUUGCUGGGCCGACACUGACACUGAG